UACGUAGGUGGCAAGCGUUGUCCGGAAUUACUGGGCGUAAAGGGCGUGUAGGCGGCCAAUUAAGUCAGAUGUGAAAUCCCCGGGCUUAACCUGGGAACUGCAUUUGAGACUGGAUGGCUUGAGGACCGGAGAGGGUAGUGGAAUUCCUAGUGUAGCGGUGAAAUGCGUAGAUAUCAGGAGGAACACCGGUGGCGAAGGCGGGUCUCUGGGCAACAACUGACGCUGAGGAGCGAAAGCGUGGGUAGCGAACAGG
rnacentral:rRNA from 1 species